UUGAACGCUGGCGGCAGGCCUAACACAUGCCAGUCGAGCGGAUGAAGGGAGCUUGCUCCUGGAUUCAGCGGCGGACGGGUGAGUAAUGCCUAGGAAUCUGCCUGGUAGUGGGGGAUAACGUCCGGAAACGGGCGCUAAUACCGCAUACGUCCUGAGGGAGAAAGUGGGGGAUCUUCGGACCGCACGAUAUCAGAUGAGCCGAGGUCGGAUUAGCUAGUUGGUGGGGUAAAGGCCUACCAAGGCGACGAUCCGUAACUGGUCUGAGAGGAUGAUCAGUCACACUGGAACUGAGACACGGUCCAGACUCCUACGGGAGGCAGCAGUGGGGAAUAUUGGACAAUGGGCGAAAGCCUGAUCCAGCCAUGCCGCGUGUGUGAAGAAGGUCUUCGGAUUGUAAAGCACUUUAAGUUGGGAGGAAGGGCAGUAAGUUAAUACCUUGCUGUUUUGACGUUACCAACAGAAUAAGCACCGGCUAACUUCGUG
rnacentral:rRNA from 1 species